AUUGAACGCUGGCGGCAUGCUCUACACAUGCAAGUCGAACGGUAACAGGCCGCAAGGUGCUGACGAGUGGCGAACGGGUGAGUAAUGCAUCGGAACGUGCCCAGUCGUGGGGGACAACUACUCGAAAGAGUAGCUAAUACCGCAUACGAUCUAUGGAUGAAAGCGGGGGACCGUAAGGCCUCGCGCGAGUGGAGCGGCCGAUGUCAGAUUAGGUAGUUGGUGGGGUAAAGGCUCACCAAGCCAACGAUCUGUAGCUGGUCUGAGAGGACGACCAGCCACACUGGGACUGAGACACGGCCCAGACUCCUACGGGAGGCAGCAGUGGGGAAUUUUGGACAAUGGGCGCAAGCCUGAUCCAGCAAUGCCGCGUGCAGGAAGAAGGCCUUCGGGUUGUAAACUGCUUUUGUACGGAACGAAACGGCUCUGGUUAAUACCCGGGGCUAAUGACGGUACCGUAAGAAUAAGCACCGGCUAACUACGUG
rnacentral:rRNA from 1 species